rnacentral:miRNA from 1 species
UCUUGAAGCAACAGUUACAAGU